CAACGUUCAAAAAAGCCUGAUCAUUCAGGG
rnacentral:sRNA from 1 species